CCAGCGACUGCGUUGGCGUUGCGGGCUCGGUCCGUCGGUGCCCACAAAGGCACCGGCGUGUCAACCGGCCCGCCCGUCCCCUCUUUCUGGAUUCCCGUUCCUGCUAUUGAGUUAGUGGGGACGUCACAGGGAGCUCAUCGUCGUCAGCAAUGCCGGCGGUGGGUUCCUGGGGCCCAGAUCGUUUACCGUGAAAAAAUUAGAGUGUUCAAAGCAGGCAGAUCCAAUUUUCUGCCACCGAAUACAUUAGCAUGGGAUAAUGGAAUAGGACCCUGUCCUCCUAUUUUCAGUUGGUUUUGGCAGCGCGAGGACUAGGGUAAUGAUUAAUAGGGAUAGUUGGGGGCAUUAAUAUUUAAUUGUCAGAGGUGAAAUUCUUGGAUUUAUGAAAGAUUAACUUCUGCGAAAGCAUCUGCCAAGGAUGUUUUCAUUAAUCAAGAACGAAAGUUAGGGGAC
rnacentral:rRNA from 1 species